rnacentral:pre_miRNA from 9 species
UCUCGAUAACGUAAAAGUUAACUCAAAUUUGUAUGGAGUUGGAUCGUUUGCCUACAUUUACCGUUAGGGGCGUUGUUCAGCUGCAGAUAAAUUUGAGUUAACUUUUACGCUAUCGA